rnacentral:rRNA from 1 species
AUCUUAGACAAUGGGCCCAACCCCCCUCCCCCCCCGCCGCCUGAGUGAUCAAGGCCUUAGGGUUGUAAAGCUCUUUCAGCUGUGAAGAUAAUGACGGUAGCAGCAGAAGAAGUCCCGCCUAACUCCGUCCCAGCAGCCGCGGUAAUACGGAGGGGACUAGCGUUGUUCGGAAUUACUGGGCGUAAAGCGCACGUAGGCGGAUCGGAAAGUUGGGGGUGAAAUCCCGGGGCUCAACCCCGGAACUGCCUUCAAAACUAUCGGUCUGGAGUUCGAGAGAGGUGAGUGGAAUUCCGAGUGUAGAGGUGAAAUUCGUAGAUAUUCGGAGGAACACCAGUGGCGAAGGCGGCUCACUGGCUCGAUACUGACGCUGAGGUGCGAAAGCGUGGGGAGCAAACA